GUUUUGGAUUCUGACAUUAAAAUUUGUCAAAAAGUAAUUUCGAGUUUCUGUAUAAAAUAUUUUCUGCUUUUUCUUUCUUUUCGAUAUAUCUUUUGGUUUUCAGUUCUAGUGAUUAUAUUUCAUAACCAUAGAUGUAUUUUGUCACCUGCUUGGAUUUUUUUUUAUAUGUAGUUGAUUGCCAAACAUUACCCUUAUCCGCUUCUGGAAUCGGACCCGAUAUUGUAAUUGUCUGCACGGCAUCUAAACUGGACCCCUGCUGUUGUUUCAAUCUUAUCUACACAUGUGUCGAAGUAUCAAUCAGCGUGUGGCCAGAUAACACGGCAUCCACUUAUUUUCAAUGUUGUUUUUGUCAGUCAGAUACGAUUUUACUCGAAUUUAGACAUUACUUGUUGGCGAUUUUCUGUAUAAAGCUAGUGGUUGAACAAAAUGAACAUCAGAAGGCGUUUAUAAGUUUAUAAAUAAAUUCCCUAUAAUGGUUUGUUGUGGAUUUUCGGAAUUACGGAAUUACAGAAUUACAGAAUUACAGAAUUACAGAAUUACGGAAUUACAAAAUUACGGAAUUUCAGAC
rnacentral:lncRNA from 1 species